GGCAUCAACUUCUCGUGGGUGCUCGUCAAUGUGCUAUUCGGCAUCCUCACCUUGACCUCCGUCAUGGUGGUGUUCCACUCCAAGGGCGAUGAGGCGAUCAUCACCAUCUUCACCGCCUCCUACGUGGACCUUGUGCCGUUCUUUUGCCGCCUCUACCUCUACAAGAGUUUGGCCCAAGGUUCGCCAAGGCGGAACCGACUCAAGGCGUCGGUGUGGACGCUCACCACCUUGCUCACCUUCUCCUUCACCUACAUGGUCAUGGGCAUGGCUGGCCUCACGCUCCCUGUCGCGUUGCUGCUCUAGGCCAUCGCCGUUGCCGCCAGGAUUGGGGCCUUCUCCGACUUCUUCGAGCAAGGGCAAGUACUACUCGAUUCCCGGUUUUCUUCUACUGUCACCUACAAUAUCUAUUUCAAUUAA
rnacentral:rRNA from 1 species